AUUUGAAAUCGUGUUUCGGCACGAGUUGUAGAGUGUAGGCGGGAGUCUCUGUGGAGCGCGGUGUCCAAGUCCCUUGGAACAGGGUGCCUGAGAGGGUGAGAGCCCCGUAGGGUGCUGCGCGAAGCUUUUGAGGCCCUGCUGACGAGUCGAGUUGUUUGGGAAUGCAGCUCCAAGCGGGUGGUAAAUUCCAUCUAAGGCUAAAUAUUGGCGAGAGACCGAUAGCGAACAAGUACUGUGAAGGAAAGAUGAAAAGCACUUUGAAAAGAGAGUGAAACAGCACGUGAAAUUGUUGAAAGGGAAGGGUAUUGGGCUCGACAUGGGGGGUGCGCACCGCUGUCUCUUGUAGGCGGCGCUCUGGGCGCCCUCUGGGCCAGCAUCGGUUCCUGCUGCGGGAGAAGGGGCUCCGGAAAGUGGCUCUUCGGAGUGUUAUAGCCGGGGCCAGAUGCCGCGUGUGGGGACCGAGGACUGCGGCUUCUGUCUCGGAUGCUGGCAUAACGGCGCAAUACCGCCCGUCUUGA
rnacentral:rRNA from 1 species